UACAUUAGCAUGGGAUAAUGGAAUAGGACCCUGUCCUCCUAUUUUCAGUUGGUUUUGGCAGCGCGAGGACUAGGGUAAUGAUUAAUAGGGAUAGUUGGGGGCAUUAAUAUUUAAUUGUCAGAGGUGAAAUUCUUGGAUUUAUGAAAGAUUAACUUCUGCGAAAGCAUCUGCCAAGGAUGUUUUCAUUAAUCAAGAACGAAAGUUAGGGGAUCGAAGACGAUCAGAUACCGUCGUAGUCUUAACCAUAAACGAUGCCGACCAGCGAUUAGGAGACGUUGAAUACAAAACACCACCAUCGGUGCGGUCGUCCUUGGCGUCGGUCUUUCGGGGCCGGCGCGGGGACGGCUUAGCCCGGUGGCACCGGUGA
rnacentral:rRNA from 1 species